GAGCGCUUUCUGAAGUUACAGGCCCUAGUACUUAUACAGACACACACACACACAGUGAGUGUAACUACUUUGGACUUUAUGUUUCUGUUCCCUGAUUUGGAUCAACACAGGGAGAGACUGGAGCGCACUGAAUGAGUCCAAGAUCAUCAGAGCACAAUCAGGAGGUCCCUGGAGGAAGAGGAACCCACUUCAGAAUAAAUGACGCCCCCAGAGAAGAGGCCACCUAGUUUUUACCACAAAAUAAAUGAAAUGUGUCUCAAACAGGCCUGAAACAUGAAUUCCCUUUGUGUGUAAGACAAAAACAGUUUCUGCAAAAAGACAUACAGGCAGGCAGGCAGGUAAACACUGCAUGAUUGGAUCUGUGAAUACCGGUGUGAGUGGGAGAGAGACGCGUUCGGUCUCUAGAUGAGAUGGUCACAUGCAACCACGUCUGCCUGCCCCCUCUCUCUGACUGGCCGCUCUGCUCAGUUCUGCAGCAGCAGAUACAUGUUGAUGAGCGAUGAUCCAACCCUGCUAUGUGGGCGUGUGAGGAGUUUGGCAGAGGAGGGAGAUGUGGGGGCCUGAGCAUCACCCCUCCCUCCCCCUCAUGGCCUUUAGUGAGUUUGAGCACUUUCUGAAGGUCUACAGAUGAAGUCACGACUCACGCUGUCUGCUGUUCCACACCGCUCACCUGGUGGUGCGAAGUCAAUUGAAGCACUACGCGGAAGAUGAUGAAGUGUUUGUUUGCCC